UACAGAGGGGGCAAGCGUUAUUCGGAAUUAUUGGGCGUAAAGAGCUCGUAGGCGGUGUGUCGCGUCGGCCGUGAAAACCUGGGGCUUAACUCUGGGCGUGCGGUCGAUACGGGCAUCACUAGAGUUCGGCAGGGGAGACUGGAAUUCCUGGUGUAGCGGUGAAAUGCGCAGAUAUCAGGAGGAACACCGGUGGCGAAGGCGGGUCUCUGGGCCGAUACUGACGCUGAGGAGCGAAAGCAUGGGUAGCGAACAGG
rnacentral:rRNA from 1 species